rnacentral:snRNA from 1 species
AGAUCUCGGCCUUUUGGCUAAGAUCAUGUGUAGUAUCUGUUCUUAUCAGUUUAAUAAUAUCUUUGCCUGAAAUUAGUUCAGUAUCACAGGGACCACGAAUAUGUCAUUUUGAUUUCCCUAGAACUGUG